rnacentral:rRNA from 1 species
UACGGAGGGGGCUAGCGUUGUUCGGAAUUACUGGGCGUAAAGCGCACGUAGGCGGACCAGCAAGUUAGGGGUGAAAUCCCGGGGCUCAACCCCGGAACUGCCUUUAAAACUGUUGGUCUGGAGGUCGAGAGAGGUGAGUGGAAUUCCGGGUGUAGAGGUGAAAUUCGUAGAUAUUCGGAGGAACACCAGUGGCGAAGGCGGCUCACUGGCUCGAUACUGACGAUCAGGUGGCGAAAGCGUGGGGAGCAAACAGGG